GUCUAUGGCCAUGCUACUCUGAACAAGCCCAAUCUCAUCUGAUUUUGGAAGCUAAACAGGGUUGGGCCUGGUUAGUACUUGGAUGGGAGAUCACCUAGGAAGACCAGGUGCUGUAAGUG
rnacentral:rRNA from 1 species